GUGACAGCAGCCGCGGUAAUACGUAGGGUGCGAGCGUUGUUCGGAAUUACUGGGCGUAAAGCGCGUGUAGGCGGCUCGCUAAGUCUGGUGUGAAAUCCCUGAGCUCAACUCAGGAAUUGCAUUGGAAACUGGCGAGCUUGAGUCCAGAAGAGGGUGGUGGAAUUCCUGGUGUAGAGGUGAAAUUCGUAGAUAUCAGGAGGAACACCGGUGGCGAAGGCGGCCACCUGGGCUGGUACUGACGCUGAGACGCGAAAGCGUGGGGAGCAAACAGGAUUAGAAACCCCCGUAGUCC
rnacentral:rRNA from 1 species